GCUGUAACCAAACUGGACGGCCCCUCGCGCCACCAAGGGACGCCUUCGCUUCGUGGGCUUUUUGCUUUCUCGCUUUUCACCUUUGGAGGCCCAUAUGUUGGCAGCCAAGCCCAAACAGCUACAAGGGCCGAGCGCUUCUUGGGCCGGAGGCGGCGGCGGCGGCGGGUGUGGUGUGGCGCGGAGCGGAGCGCGCCGACGACGGCGUGCACCGGCGCGGGCGAUCCGCUGGAUGAGCUUUCCGGUGAGCAGGCGCAGGAUUUCUCCCUGGUCCUGGCCAUGCCGGCUUGCCCGCAUCAUGUUCGACGAAAUGCCGCGUCCGGAAAACCCAGUUGGUUCAUCAAGGGAUGUCUGCCGGGAGGCGAGCAGCAGACGGCACCGUUGCCUGACAGCGCCAUCUGUGCAACUUUGGUCUAGGAUCUGUGUCCAAUGCUCCGAUGGGACCGCAAGGGAUCUCCUGGAGUUCCACGAUCUUCUUCAACUGAGAGUUCUUGGCCUCUUCGUUCAUGCGUCAAGGUAUUAGCAUAAUUAGUUUGUUCAGUUAUAUUGAUUGUGCACUGCUAAUGGCUGCCACUAUAUUAAGCUGUUUCAUACUGCAAAUUAUGUCUUUAUUAGUACUAAUAAUUUUUCUUGCAUUGGUUCGAGAUAUUAACUUCUGACCACUUCCAUGGUUCCUAUGCUGUAUGCCAUUUGGUCAUACAUCCUCAUCUUGUACAAGCUUGGCUGUCUGGUACAUUUAUCAAAAUAGUAUUUUAUAGCAAGAAUAAAGUACCAGAAUUCACUUCACUUUUAUUACGCUACAGUGCAUAUGUUAAGAGAUCUUUGUUCCAUCAUGUAUUCAUUCUAUCCGUAGACAGUACUCCUUAUUUUCUUGAGUUCUUUGUACUUGUGUCGGAAAGAUAUCGAUGAGAUUUUAUCACCCACGACAGUACUGGUUGCUGGAUUAAUUCAAGCUUUCUGGUCAAAGAUUUAAACAGCUUCCUCUUUCUUUCUUUUUUUUUAUAUAGCCGUCUUUACAGCUCUGUCCUCAUAAAGGCCGUUGCCCAUUUUGAGGAAGAUGCCAACUUAAGUGCUAGCAUCGGACUCACAAUCCAUAGCGGAUGGUGGGAUGGCAGAGAUGCACAGACGUUAUAAAUGUUGAAGUGAAUCUUAGUUCAGUGGAAGGUCUUAUAAUUUCCUGAAUUUUUAAGUGAUACAAAGAUAUCGAUUUUAUGGUACCACAAAAUGUAAGAUAAUAGGUUUCCUAAGACUCGAGACAUGGUUGCACUAUCAGAAGUUUCAAAAAUGCUGAUGGACUGUUUUUUGAAGCUAUAUCUAGCAAGUCUUGAAUUAUCAAUUAAUAUGUUGGUGUCAUGGCUCGAUCAAGUAUUGCAGAGUCGAUGUUUCAUCUUUUUGGUAAUUUACAAACAUUUUGAGGAAAGAUGCCAACUUAAGUAUCGGACUAUCCAUGGCUGAUGCCAUGGAUGCAUAGAGCUUAUAAAUGUUGAAACGGAGAGCCUGUAGGUUGCUGAAUUUUUAAGUAAUGCCAAUUUAUUGUUCAGGGUGCCACAAAAAUGUAAAACAAAAGGUUUCCUAAGACACACUACAAAAUCAAUAAAGUUUCCAAAAUGUUGGUAAACUUGUAGCUAUAUCUAUCAAGUCUUGAAGUCUCAGUUGAAUAUAUUGAUGCCAUGGUUCAAUCAAUCUUGCACUAUACAUAUUUCAUCUUUUUUGUGAUUUAUACAGUUAUAAGUACAUAUAUUAAUUUCUGCCACCACGAUAUUGAUAACCCUGGUUCAGACAAGUCUGGAAAUUGACAUGUAAUUCGAAGCCAGAACAUUGAAGUGCUCUGCUUCGACUGUUGCUGAUUUUACUGCAUAGGAAUUCAAGAUCUGACUGUCCUUACUUGUUUUAUUAUGAUACGUAUUUGAACUUAAAGGCAUGCAGAUGAGGGAUCUCGAUGGCAAAAUCAUUCUCGGGGAAUGCCGCGUCGCCCAUCUCCAUCUCCACAGAUGACCACCAGGACCGUGAGGCAGCUCUUUUCAGUUUCGCCUGGAUCCAUCCAAUCCAGCGAGUAGGAUCCCUUCUAAGGUACUCCCUAAUUCGGUGAGUUUGUUAUCUUACUAUUGCAAACUAUUCUAUGAGAAGCUUAAGUAGCAGGUUUGCAUAAUACGCUUUGGUCUCUACAAUAUGGUAUGCAUCCUGAUCCCUCAAUUAUGCAGCCAUGUUCCUUGAUCUAAUUUCCGAGUAAAAUGUCGUGGUCCAAUAAGUUAUGGUGGAAAGACUAGAUCAUACACAGUGCUAAUUUAUUGGAUUGGACACUUCCUUCAUUGGGUUUGUAGCGCAGAAAGUGUCCAGAGUCGACUAGAAAGUUGCAAAUAAAACUUCGGCUGAAAUAGGAUGUUUUGGUGGUACUUCAUUAGGCAUAUUUUAGCCUGGUUAGUUUGGAAUUGUCAAAACUAACGGGAAUCUUUGUAUUAUUCCUUUGCGACGCAGAGGGAGGUCUUUACCACCCUCUGCAAUAUGUGCGUGUUUUGUCAAAGUAGUCACGUUGUCAACUCUCUACUCAGAGUCGGCCCUAAAGUGCUCUCGACCUGCUCGUCAGAUUAAACAGGCAAGAGCAAAUCCUCUUUGAUUAAAAGAUUCCACAAGAAAUGGAUUUAGUGCUACACUUUUACUGCUAGAGUGAUUCAUAAGCUGAUGGUGAGGAUUGAAAUGAAUACGCAACGCAGUUCUAAAUGCUUGUUGGUUAGGUGUCAUUUCACAAGUUGCAUCCUUGAGGCACCAAAAGUAAAGUAUGGAAGCUCAUUGAAGAGCAAACGGCAUUGAAGGAUAUAGGCUGCAAAGGCAUAGAUGGGAGUAGAACCCUUUGAUCAGCUGCCGCGGCCAUAAAUCUCAUCAUAAAGGAGCAUUCAAGGUGCUAAAACUAUAUGCAGCUGCUGCCAACAGUAUGGAGUAAAAUUACUCGCAGGUACUGCCUGCCAUCAUCUCUGCUCUGCAUGGUGGAGUCGUAGAGAGCAAAAAAAAAGAAAGAAAUCUAUUUUUCAAAGGAGGAGGAAAUCUCAACUGAUGGCUAACUGAAGAUACCAUUUCCUUGCCUAAUUCCUAGUCCAUACUCCAUGGAUGUCUCUGUUUACAUUUUUACUGCAGCUGCAGGGAGGGCAAGUUGGGACAUACUAGUAGAGUAGAGUGGUUUGGUUCCAGCGGCUGAAUACAUAAUCUUUCUCGAGUAAAACAUGAUCUUUGAGGACGACGCAUGAAUCUCGCAGGGCUCCAUCUUAUGAUCUUUCCAGACUAGGAUGGGAUCACAUAGAGAGAAAGGAGGAGAUGUGAAUGAAGGAGAUAGUAGUCCAGUAGGGAGGAAGAAGAGGAGGACGUGGGAGCUUUGUUGUUUUGCAUUAAUGCCAAGUAAAGAGAAGCAUUGACCUCUCCCCUACUUGACACAAUGACACCCCCCUGCCUGCCCUAUAUAACUUCCUAGCCGCUCAACCAGACGCAUCAAAGCUCAUCUCUUUCGCUGUUCUCAUCUCCUCUUCGGAUCCUCCAGGCUUGCU